UUUUACUCCAGCGACAAAGCUCUGGUUUGUUGAUCAAAAUGAUCACCCUUCUUGAUUGACAAUUCUAAUUGCACUAGGAAUGUGACCCAUACUGAGAUAAGCUGUACCUCUGUUGCUGAUAACAUAUGUAACACAAACAAUAUGUUUAUAGUAGCAGACGAUGUUUUAAUUAUAACAUUUUCUGUUUUAAAGUGUUACACAGAAAGAUAAAUCACACUACAAGUCAAAUUAUGAAUACACAAAGAAGGAUUAUGUCCAC
rnacentral:lncRNA from 1 species